GACGAACGCUGGCGGCGUGCUUAACACAUGCAAGUCGAACGGAAAGGCCCUGCUUUUGUGGGGUGCUCGAGUGGCGAACGGGUGAGUAACACGUGAGUAACCUGCCCUUGACUUUGGGAUAACUUCAGGAAACUGGGGCUAAUACCUGAUAGGAGCUCCUGCUGCAUGGUGGGGUUUGGAAGGUUUCGGCGGUUGGGGAUGGACUCGCGGCUUAUCAGCUUGUGGGUGGGGUAGUGGCUUACCAAGGCUUUGACGGGUAGCCGGCCUGAGAGGGUGACCGGCCACAUUGGGACUGAGAUACGGCGCAGACUCCUACGGGAGGCAGCAGUGGGGAAUAUUGCACAAUGGGCGGAAGCCUGAUGCAGCAACGCCGCGUGCGGGAUGACGGCCUUCGGGUUGUAAACCGCUUUCGCCUGUGACGAAGCGUGAGUGACGGUAAUGGGUAAAGAAGCACCGGCUAACUACGUG
rnacentral:rRNA from 1 species